AUUGAACGCUGGCGGCAUGCCUUACACAUGCAAGUCGAACGGUAACAGGUCUUCGGAUGCUGACGAGUGGCGAACGGGUGAGUAAUACAUCGGAACGUGCCUAGUAGUGGGGGAUAACUACUCGAAAGAGUGGCUAAUACCGCAUGAGAUCUACGGAUGAAAGCAGGGGAUCGCAAUACCUUGUGCUACUAGAGCGGCCGAUGGCAGAUUAGGUAGUUGGUGGGAUAAAAGCUUACCAAGCCGACGAUCUGGAGCUGGUCUGAGAGGGCGAUCAGCCACACUGGGACUGAGCAACGGCCCAGACUCCUACGGGAGGCAGCCGUGGGGAAUUUUGGACAAUGGGCGCCAACGUGAUCCAGCAAUGCCGCGUGCAGGAUGAAGGCCUUCGGGUUGUAAACUGCUUUUGUACGGAACGAAAAGCCCCGGGUUAAUACCCUGGGGUAAUGACGGUACCGUAAGAAUAAGCACCGGCUAACUACGUGCCAGCCGCCGCCGUAA
rnacentral:rRNA from 1 species